UUGCAAUCCGGAUCAGCUGGCUCGGCGAGGCUCGGAGCGGCAGCGCCGGAGCCAGUCAAACGGGGCCGGGGCUGCAAAGGCGUCGCCCCCUCGCCGCCUCCGGGGAGCUGGGCGAGGCGGCGGCGGCUGGGCGUCGCUGGUCCCGGAGUUGGCCGACGCUCCCUGGGCUGCUGACAGCUCGGCUCCGCAGCCUGCCUCCUCUCUCUCUCUCUCUCACACACACACACACACCCCGCCUUUCUUCCAGGCGGCCAGCCGUGCGCCAAGGCGAGGGCGUGCGCGUUGCGCAGGGCGUCCCCGGACCGGCUCGCUCGCUCGCUCGCUCGCUGCAGCUUCUGGGCGCGCGGUUGGAGAUGCGCCUCCCCGGCUUGUGAGCGGCCUCUCGCCCUGCCUCCCCCCCCCUCUCCCCACCCCCGGCGGCCAAGAUGACGGUGGAAUUCGAGGAGUGCAUUAAGGAUUCGCCCCGAUUCCGGGCGACCAUAGAUGAGGUAGAAACAGACGUGGUGGAGAUAGAAGUCAAGCUUGAUAAGCUGGUAAAGCUAUGCAGCAACAUGGUCGACGCCGGGAAAGCGUACAUCAUCACCAACAAACAGUUUGUCGGUGGCGUGCGAGACCUGUCCCAGCAGUGCAAGAAGGACGAAAUGAUCUCGGAAUGCUUGGAUAAAUUUGGAGACAGUUUGCAGGAAAUGGUCAACUAUCACAUGAUCCUUUUCGACCAAGCUCAGAGGUCUGUCCGGCAACAGUUGAACAACUUUGUGAAGGAGGAUGUCCGCAAGUUCAAGGAGACCAAAAAACAGUUCGAUAAAGUUCGAGAAGACAUGGAGAUCGCCUUGGUCAAGAAUGCCCAAGCCCCACGGCACAAGCCCCACGAAGUAGAAGAGGCCACGGGCACGUUGACAAUCACCAGGAAAUGCUUCCGGCACUUGGCCCUGGAUUACGUCUUGCAGAUCAACGUUCUCCAGGCCAAGAAGAAAUUUGAAAUUCUGGAUGCCAUGCUUUCCUUUAUGCACGCCCAAUACACCUUUUUCCAGCAAGGUUACAGCCUCCUGCACGAAUUGGAUCCUUACAUGAAGAAACUAGCCACUGAGCUGGACCAGUUGGUGAUCGACUCGGCUGUGGAGAAGAGGGAAAUGGAGCAUAAACACGCCCUUAUUCAGCAACGGACUCUUUUACAGGAUUUCUCUUACGAUGAAUCCAAGGUGGAAUUCAACGUGGAUGCUCCCAACGGAGUAGUGAUGGAAGGAUACCUCUUCAAGAGAGCAAGCAAUGCCUUCAAGACCUGGAAUCGGAGAUGGUUCUCCAUACAAAAUAGCCAGCUGGUCUAUCAGAAGAAGCUAAAGGAUGUACUCACGGUCGUUGUGGAAGACCUCCGGCUUUGCACAGUCAAGCCUUGCGAGGACAUAGAACGGAGGUUUUGUUUUGAAGUGGUCUCCCCCACCAAGAGCUGCAUGUUACAAGCCGAUUCAGAGAAGCUGCGCCAAGCGUGGAUCCAGGCGGUCCAAGCGAGCAUAGCCUCCGCCUAUCGAGAAAGCCCUGAUAGCUGCUUCGUUGAAAAAUUGGACCGAACAGCUUCCCCUUCAACCAGCAGUAUAGACUCCGCCUCCGAUUCCCGGGACCGAAGUGGGAAAGGGGAAACUAUCCUGCAGAGGGUGCAGAGUAUCUCUGGCAACGACCAGUGUUGUGACUGCGGGCAAGCCGAUCCCCGGUGGGCGAGCAUCAACUUGGGCAUCUUACUAUGCAUUGAAUGUUCAGGGAUACACAGGAGCUUGGGAGUUCACUGCUCCAAAGUGCGGUCACUCACGCUGGACUCUUGGGAGCCAGAACUAUUGAAGCUGAUGUGUGAGCUGGGCAAUGCAACCAUGAACCAGAUCUACGAGGCUCAGUGCGAGGAGAUGGGGCUGAAAAAGCCAACAGCUGGCAGCUCAAGGCAGGACAAAGAAGCAUGGAUCAAAGUCAAAUACGUGGAGAAGAAGUUUCUGAAGAAGCUCCCUUCGCGAGAACCCCUGGCCGACCACGAGCAGAAGCCCCGCCGCUGGAGUGUGAAAAAGUGCCAGAGGUGCAACAGCACCACCAAAGCGCCCACUACUCGCAGGAAGUACCGGCACGAGGCGGGAAACGCGUCUCCGGCUGCCCACUCUUCAGCUGCCACUUUGGAAAGGAAGUUCCGCCGAGAUUCCCUCUUCUGUCCCGACGAGCUGGAUUCCCUCUUCUCGUACUUUGACACAGGAGCAGGCCCCCGCAGUGGGAACCAGGCGUCAACUCAACAGCCUGUGGGAGCCAGCCCAUGGAGUGAGACCUGCAAUGGCCCUGGAGGCAGCGGUUCGCCCUUUCUGCUGGAUGGAGGUCUAAGCAGCGACAGUGGACUGGGUGGGAGCACUGAUGGCAGCACAGACGUCUUGGUGUUUGGCUCGGUGGUUGAUAGCGUCACAGAAGAAGAGGGGGAAGCAUCAGAAGAAUCCAGCGGGGACGUCGAAAUUGAGCAGGAGGCCUCCGAUUUGGAAGACCUGCGGGCGCUCCAUCCUGGUUUACUUGUUUACAAGGCGUCAAGGGCCAGGAACCUGCCCGUGAUGGCGGAGGCCCUGGCCCACGGUGCCAGCGUCAACUGGGUGAACGAAGAAGACGAGAGCAAAACCCCGCUGAUCCAAGCUGUCAUGGGGGGCUCACUAAUAGCCUGUGAAUUUUUGCUCCAGAACGGGGCAGACGUUAACCAAAGAGAUAUCCGAGGGCGGGCACCUUUGCAUCAUGCCACAUAUUUGGGCCACACCGGCCAGGUCUGCUUAUUCCUAAAGAGAGGAGCCAACCAGCACGCAGCUGACGAGGAUGGGCAGGACCCCCUCAGCAUCGCUGUCCAGGCCGCUAAUGCGGACAUCGUGACCUUGCUGCGUCUGGCUCGGAUGAAUGAAGAGAUGCGUGAAGCCGAGGGCCCUUUCGGACACCCAGGUCAAUAUACCAACAAUAGCCCUACAGAGCUUCAGUACCGAAAAUGUAUACAGGAGUUCAUCAGCCUUAACAUAGAUGAGUGUUAGUGAGAACUUCGGCAACCUCCGUGUUUUGGGUCAAAAUUUAAGGAAGCUGAACUGAGCCCAAGGAAAAACAAACAAACAAACAAAAAGGAAACAAACAAACUCUAGACGUGUGUUUUGGGGUAGGGGAAUUUGCUGACCGAAAGUUUCCAUUCAGAACACGAAAGAGUGGAUGGGCUGAAAGCUGCACAGCGAGAGGAGGAGAGCGAGAGAGGACCCUUAAAAACCAACCGAGAUCAGAUUUAUUUAUUUAUUUAUUGCUGCAUUUUGGUUCAGGAGGAGUGGGUGCAUCUGAGCUUAAAUCUGCCCUUCGGUUCCCCCACCACCACCACCAAAAAAAGCAACUGACUGUCUGAAUGGUCUCUCCAGGCCUAAAAGCAGGGUUUGGAGGCGAAAUGUUUUAAGGAAAGUGAUCCCAAACGUGCAGCUGAUGGCGGCUUCUUCUUAAUCUCUCUCUCUCUCUCUCUCCCUGUAUCUGUCUCUCUUCUUUGUCUUGUGCACACCCUCGGCCAUGCCGAUGGCAUUGCGGCAGGAAAUCCAAAUCGACGGGAGGGAGAACCAGAACACACGAGACACACGACAAGCAUGCACACAUACACAGGAACACGUGGCCAGGAACGAGAUAGCCCCGUUUUGAGCGUGGAACAGGCAGGGGUGAAGUUCAGCCGGGCUGCCAGUUUGGUGUCUUCUGGGCACAUGCUGCAAUUCACGGAUCAAGAGGCACUGGGGUUGGGGGGGUGGAGAACCUCCCUCCCUCCCAGGCUGUCAGGUUCCUGCAAGCCAAACGCUUCCUCUGGCGAUGACUGAUUUAUCGUGGGAAAUUAACCAGGAGGUUAGCUUGGCUGGUUAAAGCCAUAACUCAGCCACUUCCAAGAUGAGGACGCAAUCCCUGCAGGGUGAAGACAGAUGUUUUAAUUCAGGCUAGGUGGGCUGGGGCGUGCGGGACAGGCUUGCCUUUGCACCCAGAACAACAGAGUUCUGCAUCCGUGCAGGAAUGGUUGGCCAGUUGGCUAGCAGCAGGGAAGCCAUCGCCCCAGAUGUUCCUCCUCCUCCUCCUGGAAAAUUCAGAAUGGGAGUUUUGAGGUGAGGCAACUUCUGAGACACUUGAUCUGGGCUUUUAGGAGGUGCCUCUUGGCCCAGUCCUCAGAGCAAUCCUCCUGAAGAACUUCACUGAUGAAAGACAGAGAGAGGAAUAAACCAGUCAGGCAACUGAAGGGUCACCUGAUUUCGUACUACUUCUGCUAGAGGCAAUCGACUUGUUUCCAGUGACUAUCUCAUCAUAAAACACACCUCCGUGCUAAAAGAUCAAAAUCUCUGCACGUAGAGAAUUAGCACGUCUGGGACAUCUUUCUCUUCCUCAUAUGCUGGUUUUCUCCGUCCUCGGAUUGCUGGACUGGAAGGUCCCUUCCAGCUCUAUUCUGAUUGAAAUGUCCUUCCUGUAUUGGAGGAAAAAUGCGGUGGUCAUCAUUCGUGGAUAUGGAGGAGGGAAUGCAGACCUCUGCCUCAGCACUUGUCUUUUGUAAACUGUAUUUUAUCCUACACACUUAAGCGCCUCCAGCCAGGGAACUAAUAUGGCCGCCUAUCCUUGAAAGAAUACCUCUGUCUUCGUCCUUCAACUCUUGCACCUGUCUUCACCCUCAACUUCCCAAAGUGGAGAUGCCACUUACCUUGACAUCUUCCGGGACUUUUCCCACAUGGCAUCCAACAAUCCCGAAAAACUCAACCGCCGUAGCCUUCAUUUCCACCCUUCUUACCGAUAGCUUUCACCUCUGGCGUUUACUUCUGAUAACCUCAAAGCAGUAACCAAGACGAGAGGUCCUAUGUGACAAAAAAAAACAACAAGGAGCUUGUGAAGAGCGGAGUCUAUCUGAGAUGUGAUGUCUCUACCCGUCAUCCAAAACAUGUACCAGUUUUGACAAACCUCCCCCAAGGAAUUUCCCCCCCCCCACCCCCCCCCGUUCCCAAGACUUUCUGAACAAUAUGGCACGGCCUUGUAAAUACAUCUGCCAGAAUUAUUAGCCACAGAAAUGGAUGAACAAAAAGAGAGUUUUUGCUACAACUUUCUUCCUUGCUAGCCGGGGAGUCUUCUUCACUAGCUGCUGGCAGCUGGUUGCGAGUAUAUGACAAGAAAGGUCAUGAUGAUUGCGUGCCAGUAUUAGAUAGGGAAGGAUUAUUCUCAUCUAUUAUUAGUCUUGGCUCAAUGGGGUCCUAAAGACUAUGAUUUAACUGCAGCUUAUUAAAGAAAAUACAGUUUGAUGGGACACAUCCCAAGGGCAGCUGCGUUCUGGGUUAGCAUGAAGUCCAAUUCAGACAAUCUCAAGUCCUUCUCUCUUCUUUCUGGACUUGAAAAAACUGUUCCAUAAAGCAGAAAAUGGCUUUGUUGUGGUAUUUCCCCCCCUGUAAUAGUACUUAGGAUGUUUUCACUGAUCAGAAAGUUCCUAACGGCACAUUUUGUUCCCAGGGAGUUGAUUUGGAUGGCAUCACUGUUGCUAGAACUUGAACCUUGAACCCAGGACUGCCAUUGAACCCAGGACUGCCAUUGACUGGGGGUACUUUCAAACAGGUGUGCUGCUUUUUCUCCUGCCUUUAAUUAUUUUUCCUUCUUAAUCUCGGGCUCGACCUAUUUUUCCUGCUUCCAUUAACGCCCCUAACCUGGUGUCAGUGUGAAGCAUUGUGGGAAACUAAAAUGGGGGUUUACCUCUACGGAGAUUCUCAGUCAUGCAGUUCAUGGUUGUCCCAAAGGUGCUUUCUGAAGCGUCAACUGGACUUCCUUUGUUUUUCCUGGAAGACGUUUCACUUCUCCUCCAAGAAGCUUUUUCAGUUCUGACUGAUCCAUUCUCCACCAUUCAGUCAGAAGCAAAACUUCUUCUUAUAGGAAAAACAAAGGCAGCCCCAUUGCCUCUUCAAAAAGUACCUUUGGGAUAAAAUGAUGGUCAGGCUUCCUUCCAAAUGCUGCUCUGAAAUAGGAAUCCAGGACCAACCUCCCUGAAAUUUUGCACCUGUCAUUGCCAAGCUGCCACGACUUCCCGAAAUGAAUGGGCUGGCCAGCACUGUCCAUUUGGGGGAUAUGAUUGGUUCCAGCUUUUCUUCCACUUUUAUCGGGAGUUUUAUUUUUAGGGAUAAAUGUAGGAACUUGCUGGGGGGGGGGGAGAGGGAUGGAGGGGCUGUGGUUGAAAGAAAAUGUUGGUGGAUGUGGAAUUCCAAAGCUGACUUCCUUGCUGGUGGUUGGUGGGUGAGAACCAACAGUCGCACAGAUAUGCCUGCAGAUUAAAGUCAUUAUUAGGUUUCCUUCUUUUUUUAAAAAAAUGGAGAGAGAAACAGAAGGCAAUGUCUUCCAGGAACUAACUAAUUUCCUUGGCAAAAUGGAACCUCUUUGGUGAAAGCUGAAGUCUGAUUAUGGGGGUUUGAAUUUCAAUUGUGUUCCAGAAUACUUGACGUGGCCUUCUGGGGUAUUGUGGGAAACUGAGGCGGCUGGCCGGCUCGUUGAUAGCCAUAAUCCACCAUCGCCCUCCGUUGCUUGCUAAAAUAUUUUGAUCAUAGUUUUUCUUCCUUCUCUUUUUUUAAACAGCAAGAAUUAAUGGAAAGUAUUAUUUUUAUAUAUAUAUAAAAAAGCUCAUAUUGUUUCAUAGUUUUGUUGUUGGUUUUUUUGAACAAGGUUAUAGGGAAGAGUUUGUACUGGUACAGACGUCUUCUUGCAAGUGCUUAAUUUUUUUAGUGUGUAUAGACAUCCUUGUUUAUGUGCUAAAAAUGUAAUAUAUCUCCAAGCAAAAUAUAAGUAUUUGUAAAAUCUUGGGGAGCUGGGGGGGGGAAGAGUGGGAGAGAUGGACAGCAAUGCCUUAUUUACAAGAAUAUAAAUAAACUUAGGAGAGAUUUUUCUUCCAAUAAACCAACUAUACUUUCCUUGUAAUUUUUUCCGGUUUGGAUUUCUUUUAAGUUGGUGAGAAAUUAUGUCAUGCUAUAUUUUAUAGGAUAAAUUUUAUUGGGAACAGUUUUAUGGCCUGGAAAGCCAGGUGACUUUUAUUCUUUUUUUCUUUUUUUUUUUUGAGGUAAGCUAGAACAAGUACUUUGUGUCCUAAGAUUAAGAAGCCAAAAUGUUUUCCUUUGAAAUGUUUAUACUUCUGCUUUCUUAGUAAUGCUAUUAAAUUAUAUGUUAGGGAGGGAUUAACUGCAGACUUCUAAGAACAAAAACAUUUUGGAUGCUUUAAAAAUGCCCAUGCCUAGAAAUACACACUGCAGAUGUAUGUAUGUACAAGUAGUUGUCAACUUACGAACACAACUGAAACCGGAAUUUCUGUUGUUAAGAAAGGUGGUUGUGCCUCGUUUUAUGACCUCUUUUUCCCCACAGUUGUUAAGUGAAUCGUGUCAUUAAGGCUGCUUGUCGGAAGCCAGCUGGGAAGGUUGCAAAUGGCCAUCCCGUCACCCAUGGAUGCAACAACUAGUGUAAAUACACACCAGUUGCCAAGCACCCAAAUGUUGAUCACCAGUUAUAAAUGUGAGGACUGGUUGUUGGUCACUUUUUUCAGUGCCGUUGUAACUUUGAACAGUCAC